rnacentral:lncRNA from 1 species
UUUUUUUUUUUUUUUUUACACUGUGUAUCCUGCAACAUUUUUGUGUUGGAAAACCUGGAAUUAUAAAAUCAGUAUCUCUGAAAUGUUUGCUGUACCCUGCAGCCAGACCAUAACAUGUGGCACAUCUGAAGGUCUAAAAUUUGCAGCUUUAAAAUUUCUCUGACUGAAUAAUUAGAUACUGCCUUGUAUGCCUGCUACAAUGUUUUGCACAUAAAUUACUUACAAACCACUGUGAGAUUCAAACAAGAAUCUGACAGGGAAACACAGGUAUUACCUCCUGUAAGUAAUUUAGGCAUGUCAAAACUAUAAAUUGUUGCCUUACUUUUUUCUUUUUAUGACUUGUGACACAAGAAUGGAUUACCUCUGCACUAUUUUCUACUUUGGUUAUAAUUUUUGUCAUUCAAAUAAAGGCAGAGCAAGAAAGAAUGAAAAUAAAUUAUUAUGGCUCAGUGUAAACUAUUUGCAGGAUGGUGUUAAAAAGGAAAUUAAUAGAAAAAAUAUAUUCCUAAAUUUCAAUUCUAGCAAUGAGAAUUGUACCCAUAAUGGAAAAAAAUAAUGUAAAAUUAACUAAUGUACAUCUUGUUUUAGUGCAAUUAUUUAAUUCUCCAUGCUGCAACAUCUGACAGCAACUCACAUACAAUGGCCUUGGAGUUCUAAAAGUAAUGACUCAAAUUCUCACCUUUCCUCUCCACUGCUACAGUUCAGUGUCACUACAAUUCAUCCACCUGGUGCCAUUUUCCCAGCUGGUUGUAAUUCUUGUCACAGAAAUGAAGAAUUUGAAACCUUUUCCAGACCAUUUGUAACAUUCUGCAUUUGGUUCCAUUGCUAAUUCCAUCUCCUCAUUCAUCUACAGCACAAUUUCUGAAUCCAUAUUCUAUGGAUUCAGGGUUCACUGAGCCAACCAAGUGAAAUAUGGACUAUUAACAAGAUGAAACUUCUUUUUCCUUGCUGAAUGCUGUGUUACCACAUAUCACUAGAAGACAUCCCAAUUCUUAGCAAUCACACUGCACCAUGCAUAAGAAAGGGGAAUGACUCAGGAGAAAAUAAAAAUAUCACUGGUGUGCUCUUAAAGGUGCGUCAGAGUCACUCACAGACAAGUGAGACUGCACUGUGGCACACAGGUGUAUUUCACCAGCUGUGCAAGAGAUUAGAUCAGUGCACUCUCUUUUAACAAAAUGAUGCACUCCAGAUAACUCUGCAUCCCAGUUCUGAGCCUGACUCUAAAUUCCAUCAUAAAGCCAAUAUUCCAUGAACUCUGUUGCACAAAGGGUCAGCAAGCUCACCGUGCCAGUCACUGGCACAAAUCCUGUCAGGAUUUCCUGAGGUGACUUUUCCUUCAAGUACUGACAAGUUUCAGGAGGAGGGUCACAGUCCUUUGGUUUGCCAGUGAAUUUGUCCUUCAGCUCAGCCUCUCCUUGCAAAGAGGUUUCCUGCAGCACAGAGCUGCCCCGUGCCCCUCUUUGCCUUGCAGAAGGUCCAAGUCUCUCAAGGCCUAAACCUCUCAGGGACAAAAUUAACAGCAGACUGCCAGGAAGCACCACAAUCCAGUUCCCAUCCCCUUUCCCUCCAACACACCUUAUCAAGGUACAAAAUACGCUGCAAACUCAAGCUGAAACAAGGGGAAAUGCAAAAUGUGGGUAGCCCGUGCUACCCUAAAUACAGAUUUAACUGCCCGGGGCAGAACUCUGAGAGGGUUUGUGCUCAGCUCAGCACAGGGAGAGGUCAAUGCUCAGAUGAAUUUCUUUCCAGGCAGCAGCUCAGUGCCUUUCCCUGUGUGUAAUGGGUGCCCCCGGGCUCCCUUUUCUGAUAUCCUGCCCUGAAUGCAGACCCGGAAUGAUUCAGGGCCACUCAGCCACUCAAACAAACAAGGAGGUGCAUAUUGACAUCUGGGGAAAAACUCUCACCAUUUUAGACCAGGGUUUUUAACAUGGGAAGCUGUCCUGAGAACUGAGCUGCUUCAAGAGGUUUUCUCCUAUUUUAAGAUGUUUCCCAUCUUCUGUGUGCAAGAAAGACCUUUUUAACCCUGUUCAUUUCUGGCUUCGUGGGUAAAUCUGGUGUGAGGGAUUUGUACAACGGUGUCAUACUUGCCAACAACCCCAUGGGUCCUAAACCCCACACAAUUCUGCAAUUUCAAAACAUCAUGAACUCAUUUUAAUAUUUUCACACCAUCCCUCUGUACAGAGGUGGAAAACACAGAGCAUGUAAGAAUUCAAUCACACCAAGAGGUAUCAUUUGUGUCACAAACCAGGUUUCCUAGGUGUUUGGAAAGGUUUCAAUAUUGUUAUUAUUCUAUUUAAAAUGCUUCUGGUUUUAUGUCUAACAUGAGAUGUUGCUUCAGUGCUACCAGUAAGCCAAGAAGCAUUUGCAGUAUCUCUGCUGCAUUAUUUGAACUUUUAUACGUACACAGAUCUGUCCAUCCAGCCCCCUGCAAACCUGAUGGAACAACUCUGUCAUCUGUCAUGCCAUCAGAGCUUCACCACUUACUCAAAGCAGUGCUACAAAACUGUUUUCUACUUCUACUCAUACUAGAUGGAUAACUGCAGAAGGUAAACAAUAUGAAUUUAACUUGCCUCUUCCAACAGAAAUAACAUACACUGCUGUACUACAACCUAAAAAAAUAGAUUUGCUGAUAUUGAGAUUCACUUGCAAUUCUGUUUCUCCUCUUAGCAGGAACAGAGCAUCAUGGGCUGGGAAGUUUGCCUUUUUUCCCAUUCCUAUAUAUUAUCUUUGCAGUUUAAACAACAGUGUAGUGUUUAAAAACACACCACAGUAGCUGUGCAAUGUGGCAUUGCAUCUGUACAUCAUCCAUUUUCAAGAAAUGCCACCUACAGGACUGCACAUGGAUCUGUUUUGGGGAGAAGCCAGGAUUUCUAACACUCAGUUUAAAUUUUGGCUAUUUUUCUCUUCCUUUGUUUAUAAAAUCCUGUCAAUUUAUGAGAAGAAAAAGCUCUUCUGAACAUGAUGUGUUUAUAAGCAACAAGAUGGUCUAGAGAGAUUUGGACUUUCAGACAUUUGGAUUGAAUUUCAGCUGUGUCUCAGCACAGUAAUUGAUUAUCUCAAAAUUAAUUCUACCUUCAGCUCAAGUCUAUCAGACCAGACAAUUCCAAAUGUUUUUAAAAGCCAGACUAUUUUAACCACUUUGCAGAAUGCCAGUCUACCAGAUGGAGAAAGAAAACCCUAGCAAGGAAAUAAUGGGAUUAUUACAUUACUUUAGACCGUGGAAGUCUCUUUACAGAUAAAAACAUCUGCUGUGUCCAUGUGUGUGCACAUGUUUAACUAAAAAAGGCUCGCCUGUCUGUGUGCACAUGUGCACAUGUCUGUACACAGUCUAACACCUGAAGGCUUUGCAUAUGAGAAAGCCACUUCAGAAAAGUGGCUUUCUUUUCAUGUUCAUGUAGAUUUACAUGAAAUUCAGAACAGGCGUCAGGAACUCAGUGGAAAUGCACCUCUUAAAUCUACACUCACCCCUGCCCUCUUGCUUUCACAAACCAGGUGUUCACAGGGAAAACUCUUAAAUACACAUCCCAGGGUCCUGGUCAUUUCUCAGACAGACUUCCUAAGAAUUUGGAUCCAUAGAGACUCUGACUUGGCAGUCAUACACAGCAGCAUCAGGAAGCUCUGCUGGUUUCACCUGGAAUGGGUUUAAACAUCCCCUUUGCAAACAGCAGCCAAAGGAAUGGGAGGAUGCUUUUAAUUAAGAGCUCUAUAAUUAAGUAUCACACAACUCACCCAAGUCCUAGUCUGACCAGGAAGUGAUGCUUGGAUCUCUCUUCACAUCAGUUCUUCCUUCACCUUCUGCCUCUCUUGUCCUUGUCCUGUGCUCACCCACAAUUUCCCCCAGCUAAUGCUGCAGUGUGCUCAAAGGCAAAAUGUGUUCCAAAGGAAUUCAAUAAAAAAGCUGUUCCCCUGCAUUAAGCCACCAGCAUUAACCUUCUUUAAUUCUUUUAAUGUACUGCUCUUUGAUUAAGGGUUUUUUAUUGUACUGUAAUUUUCAGUCCUCCCCAUCUGUUCAGGAGGGAAGUGCCAUCCUCCAGUGGCAGGAAUGAACUGAGAGGGAUUUGCUCUGGAGGUGACUUUCGGGGCUUUGCUGCUGUUGGCUGAUGCUUUCAUCACAACCACUGUAUAAAUAUCCCCAGUUGUUUGUGGCAACUGGCAACAGAUAAAGGAAAGGCACUGACUGGCCCCUGUGGAUAAUGUGUGAACACCUGGAAUGAGACAGUCUGGUCUGUGCCCCAGGAAGAUCCUUCCAUCAGUGAUAUUGUGAUAAUUUCCAUGAUUGUGAGGGGUUCAUUGUGCUAAGGCAGUAAAAGCACACCCACCAGUUUUAUUUAUUGUCUGCUCUAAUUUUGUUAUUUCAAUUUAACACAUUUAUGUUCCAAGUGUAAUAGUGAUUUGAAUUCAUGCCCAGUUUACAUCAUAAAAAUUCAAUUGCUAAAAAGGCUUUCUUUUAGUAUCUGCUGUCUUCUGAAAGGACAAAUAUAGCUCUGGCAUUUUCCUUCUCUAAUCAUGUUACUAAAAUAUAUAAAAAAGCCCUUUAGAGAUUAAUGUGAUUUGGUUGUGCAGAUAUGAGAGAGUUCUUACCACCUAGAACCUUCAUUAAAAGAUUCACAUAAUGAAGGAGAACAACAGUUCUCCAUAAAUCUAGUUUGGUAUCUGAAACUUCCAUUAAAAAAAAAGCAUCUAGCACUAAGAAACAACAAGAAAAAACCAUUUCCACAGUAUCUCAGAUAUUAAUUUCAAAUAUAAAAACCUGUUUAAUACAGAAAUAUUGGUAUGUCAUCCUAGCCACUCCUUCAGUGCUCAUCAUUAAAUGCAUUUACUAUAUUCACAACACAUAACAUGUGUGUCCAUGUAUUACAGGACCCGACAAUCUAAAGCCUCAAACUCCUCCUCUAAAAUAACCAAAUUCUGUGCAUCACCUUCCCCCAAGUGUGGAAGUGCAGCUGACAUUGGCAGUGUCUCCCUGAGACUGAAGCCAGCUGUGAAUUGACCCCAGCUCUGCAUUCCCCAGUCACAUUUUGUACCCUGGCUGUGCAGUCCUGGCUCUGUUUGGGCUGAACUGAAUGUGCAGAUGAGCUGGUGCAGCAGAAUCAGAUUUUCUCCUCCAGCCUGCACCCCCUUGCUGCCCUGUGGGAUUCCCUGGCCUGCCUGGAUGCAGGGACUGGUGCCCCAGGCUCCAUCCUUGGCAGGGACUAAACAUCCCAAACGUCUCCCUUGUCCCUCUCACCUGGAAGCUCACUGCUCACAGAAACUGUCCGUGGCCCCUUCCCCUCCACAGCAGCCCAAACCCAGCUGUUAACACAAAUUCCUCUUGGCAGUCUGCAGGGACCUUCUCCUUCCCAGCCUCUGAUCCAUGGCUGGAUGUCCACACCCUCUGACCCACCAGUCACCCUUCCCAUUUUCCUACCUCUUUUAUACUUCUUUUCAUCCUGCUGCUGGCCUGACUUCUCUCAGCUCACCUUUGCUCCUAUUCUGUCCAUGGCCUGGCUGCUCUUUUAACUCCUCCUUGCAGAGCCUGUCUCAUCCCCUCCAGUUCUCACUGAGGUGCCUCACUGGGCUCAGCCUGUCACUAAGCACCUUCUCCUCCUUCACACCAACAGCACCUGCAAUCCCUUCGUCCAAAGUUUUGCACAAGGAUGCCAAUUCUGACAAUUCUAAUCCAGGGAGCUCAUUUGUGAUGCUCUAAAUGAAUCUCUACAGCUGAAAUUUGGAAACCAAGCUGUUGGUUCAGAGGAAAGCUGUUACUGCUUCCCAGCAGAGCAAACAACAAACUUAAUACAAAAAAAUCAGAUUUUUCUCCCCAGAGAUGAUGUUAUCUGUGACUCUGAGGAAGACUUUUGAAGUGUUAAUAAACUGUAUGAGAUUAAGGUGCCUUGAAGACACCAGUGUCCUGAUGAAUUCCUGCAGUAAACAUUGAUAGAAGAAGGAAAUUAUAGUAUGAAUAAAGAUGCUGAGUGAAGUCCAGCCUCAAAGGGAGCAGGGAUGAGGCAUAAAGGUGCUCAUUUAAAAGGGAAGCUGAAACAUUUAGCUUAUCUAGCUAAACAUAUUAUGGCUGUUUUAGCAUUAUUUUUAUAAUAGCAGAACCAUAUUUAGCUAAUGCUCCACAAAUGGAACUAAUUAAGCUGUACUUAAAGUAUUUUAUUUAUAACUGAAAUGCUCUAUUUCCAGGAAAUCAGACUAAUGAGGCAAGUACUUAAUUUUGGAAGUAAUUUUUUAAGAAUUUGCAUAACUUGGCAUGGCUACAUAAACUUAGUACUUACUUGGAAGAUCUAGACUGCUCUGUGUUGAUAAUAAGUUAGAGAAGAGAUAUGGUAGGGGAGGGGAGCAAGCAAGCCUUUACCACACAUUGCUGAUAAGUAAGUUUUAUUUUUACAAUUUCAGGGCUACAAUCUAUCAAAAGUCUCCCAGUCAAAAAGCUAAGUAAACUUGCAGAGAGAAAUGGAAACCCAGUUUUUCCUUUUACCUUACUUACAUUGCUGCUCUUCACCUCUUGAAUCUGGUGGGAUUUUUUAAAUCACAGCACACGUGCCAUUGCUCACUUACUAAACCAAACUCACCUGGAGUCUUGGUAUUACAAAUAGAACAAAAAGUACCAGCUGAAAGUAAUGAACUCGGGGCAUUUCUUGGGGGAAAAAAAAAAAAAAAAAAAGGCUAUAGAGAAGGUUGGUUCUUCCACCAGCCAAGUCUGACACUGACACUGCUCAGAGCUCACAGUGGCUGCAGCAGCUCUGCUGCUCAGAGGGGCUCUGGGCAGUGCCUGCUCUGUGCUGCUCCCACACUUCUGGGCAAAACCUUGUGAUUAAUACCUGUGGCUACACGAGGGAGGUGACUGAGCCACAAGGAGCACAAAGCCUGGGGAAAACCCCUUCUGCCCAUUUCUGGUAUUCCAGGCCAAUAUCUCCUCUUGGUUCCUCUUGGAACCUUUGAACCUUUUGAAGGAAGGGAGAUGCUUUUUUUUCCAAAAUGCUUUCCCUGUCCAUAAACACAGGAGAAGCAGGAAGGGCUCAGAGAAGGAAUUUUAGCCAUUCCAACUCUCUGUCAGCACACACCUGAUGUUCAAAGCUGCCUCCAGCCCACAGCACCUGCUCACAGAGCUCGGCUUCUGGUCUGGCUGUUAAAGCUGAACAAACCUCAGAAGAAGAUUAACAAUAUACCAAAAGAUACAUAAAUUAAUUAAAUUUCACUAACCUAGCCUGCUAAGUCUGGUUUGCACUGAAAUGUCUGGCUGGUAUUAGAAGACAUAUUUGUAAAUUACAAAUUUACAAUUUGUAUACAAUUAUCAAUAUACUCUUCCUGCUAAUGACUACUUUAAAGAACUCCAAUUCUUUUUAAAUUACAGUUCAGUAAAACCAAACAGACCAAUUUAAAGCUUGUCAAUACUAUCCCUCCUCUCAGGCAGUACAGUUUUAGACAACACAGAUACAUCAGGUGUCCUCAGACAGAAACCUCAAAUCAAAUCAAGGUAGUUUGUUUAAAGAUCACAAACAUUUAUUUAGAGGCCCUCAUUUAAUCACAGAGCAGUUUCAGCAGCUAAGAACUUAGCUUUGUACUGAACUGCAGUAAAACACCUUUAAAGAAACAUGGCUUAAUAAAAUUAACAGUUGCACCAAACACUCUUGCAGCAGAAAUGAAACACAAACACACAUUUGGUGAGACAGUUAUAUAUAUAUAUAUAUAUAUAUAUAUAUAUAUUACUAUUUUUUAUUAAUUGCAAAGUACAAUUCACUAAAAUCAGGACUGAUCCUUCCCUAAAAAUCAGUGACUCCCAUAUUGCCUAUUAUGGAGGAUCUGGAAUUUCUUCUAAACUGCUUUCAGACACAAUGCACAUUCAUCACUGAAUCUCUGCUGGUAAAAAAGCUUACCAAAAUAAAGCCAUUUUGAGGAAAAACAGCUCCCACUCAUCCAGUCACACCUUUUGCUACACUUGCAGCAAUUUUAGCCAACCUUUAUUGCUCAAAUCAAGAGUGAUCAUUUUGUUAAUUUUGACUACAGCUCGUACAGAGCAAAGUGUUGCAGAAUCCGCACACGCUGGUUUUGGAAAGUUUGAAAUGUUUUUUGUUUUAAACACACCUCUGUGAAACUGUAAUAAAAACCCUGCAAGAUCACAGCUAACAGAAAUUACAGCUGGUAUGCCUAGAUCUUAAACAUAGCGAGCUUGUUAAUUUUGUAAGAAUUCUAUCAUUUCAUUGCAUUAUUUUCUAAUUCUCCAGCAAAGUUUUCGUACAAUGUUCAGUCCAAGAAAGAAGUUUAAGCUACUUGAAUGCCUGCCAAUCUGCCAGAACUCUUCUGCUAAAGCUUUCAUUCAGAACUAUAUUGGAAAGAGAAGCUGAAUAAAAGAGAACAGAACUGUGAGUGCUUUGAGGCAUUUCCCUGUAUUUCUGUGUUUAUCCACAUCUUCUCUGAGACAUAAAUCAAUGGUAAAAGUGCAGCUACCUGGUGCUAUUGUCCAAGUGAGCAGCCUCUAACUUUUGAUAUUACCAGUGAGAAAUCUUUCUCACAUCCUUUUCUAUUUCACUGUGAAAAAAAAAAACAAAAAAACAAAAAACAACCAAAACCACAUUUCAAGGAGUCAUUAAAACUUGUCAGGCUGCCAGGUAUCACAAGAGGAGAGAGCAAACAUGCUGUGAACAGCACAGUCUGUUUCUCACAGUCAGAAAUGAGGGUCAGCUGGAGGGAAAAGAACUGUAAGCUCCAAGGAAAGAUCUAGAUGGAACUAAGUCAGGCAUUUUAUCAUGCUUACCCUUUUCUCUGCCUGCUUUGAGCUUUGGGGGAACAGAGGGGACAGGCAGAAGUGUUUGAAGAUGCUGGUUCAGAGUCAAUUUAAUCAACUUCACAGUUCCUGAGACUCAAAGCAAUCACAGGUACCAAUUUCAGCUGGAUUGAUGGUAAGAGCCCACACUGAUAAAAGACCUGGUGCCGGAACAAGCAGGUCCCAUCACUUCACCCUCAGUGAGAUGCCAAAUGCCAGCCCCACCGCUGGAGGCCAGAAGAAGCGUGUGCCCACAGAGCAUACAGAAAAUCGCACAGAGCACACACAAAAUCGCCCUUUGCUGCUCUCCAGGAGCCAGUUCGGCCCCUGGCUGCAGUCUCAGACACCCCCGGCAGAGCCACCCCGCACAGCCCCGAGCUCCGGAGCCACCGCUGGUCCCAGCUGAGACCCCGCUGCCCUGGGAGCCCCCCGCCCUUCCCUCCUCUCUUCCCAGCCCUGCGGCAGCUUCUGGCAUUUCCCCGGGAGCUGGAGAUUGCUGCACCUUCCAAACCCAGACUGUCCCCACUGCAGCCCGACAUUCACCCCUGGUAAGGAAAGGCAAAUCAAAGGAAUCACUUUUCCUCUCCCAUCCUUCUGGCUUGGACCUUUGCUUGGGUCAAAGAGAG